rnacentral:rRNA from 1 species
GACGAACGCUGGCGGCGUGCUUAACACAUGCAAGUCGAACGGAAAGGCCCUGCUUUUGCGGGGUGCUCGAUUGGCGAAGGGGGGAGUAACACGUGAGUAACCCCCCCUUGACUUUGGGGUAACUUCAGGAAACUGGGGCUAAUACCGGAUAGGAGCUCCUGCUGCACGGGGGGGGUUGGAAAGUUUCGGCGGUUGUGGAUGGACUCGCAGGUUAUCAGCUUGUUGGUGGGGUAGUGGUUUCCCAAGGCUUUGAAGGGUAGCCGACCUGGGAGCGUGGCCGGCCUCCUUGGUCCUGCGGUACGCACCAGUAUGCUAUGGGCGGCAGCGGUGGAGAGUCUUACGCAACGGCCGGAAGCCAGAGGUAGCAACGCCCCGUGCGGGAUACCGGCCUACGGGUUGUAAACAACUUUGGCAGGUAACGAGGAGUUAGUGACGGUACUGGGUAAAAAAGCACCGGCUAACUACGUG